AACUAGUCAGGAUCUGGAGUUGUUUCCCUGAUGAGUCUAUGGUAGGACAAAACCGAUC
rnacentral:hammerhead_ribozyme from 11 species